rnacentral:tRNA from 2 species
AGGCUAGUAGCUCAAUUGGCAGAGCACCGGUCUCCAAAACCGGGGGUUGGAAGUUCGAGUCUUCUCUGGCCUG